AACUUUCAACAACGGAUCUCUUGGCUCUGGCAUCGAUGAAGAACGCAGCGAAAUGCGAUAAGUAAUGUGAAUUGCAGAAUUCAGUGAAUCAUCGAAUCUUUGAACGCACAUUGCGCCCCUUGGUAUUCCGGGGGGCAUGCCUGUUCGAGCGUCAUUAUC
rnacentral:rRNA from 2 species